rnacentral:rRNA from 1 species
UGAUAGUACCUUACUACUUGGAUAACCGUGGUAAUUCUAGAGCUAAUACAUGCUAAAAACCUCGACUUCGGAAGGGGUGUAUUUAUUAGAUAAAAAACCAAUGCCCUUCGGGGCUCCUUGGUGAUUCAUAAUAACUUAACGAAUCGCAUGGCCUUGUGCCGGCGAUGGUUCAUUCAAAUUUCUGCCCUAUCAACUUUCGAUGGUAGGAUAGUGGCCUACCAUGGUUUCAACGGGUAACGGGGAAUUAGGGUUCUAUUCCGGAGAGGGAGCCUGAGAAACGGCUGCCACAUCCAAGGAAGGCAGCAGGCGCGCAAAUUACCCAAUCCCGACACGGGGAGGUAGUGACAAUAAAUACUGAUACAGGGCUCUUUUGGGUCUUGUAAUUGGAAUGAGUACAAUUUAAAUCCCUUAACGAGGAACAAUUGGAGGGCAAGUCUGGUGCCAGCAGCCGCGGUAAUUCCAGCUCCAAUAGCGUAUAUUAAAGUUGUUGCAGUUAAAAAGCUCGUAGUUGAACCUUGAGCCUGGCUGGCCGGUCCGCCUCACCGCGUGCACUGGUCCGGCCGGGUUUUUCCUUCUGGGGAGCCGCAUGCCCUUCACUGGGUGUGUCGGGGAACCAGGACUUUUACUUUGAAAAAAUUAGAGUGUUCAAAGCAGGCCUAUGCUCGAAUACAUUAGCAUGGAAUAAUAGAAUAGGACGUGUGGUUCUAUUUUGUUGGUUUCUAGGACCGCCGUAAUGAUUAAUAGGGAUAGUCGGGGGCAUCAGUAUUCAAUUGUCAGAGGUGAAAUUCUUGGAUUUAUUGAAGACUAACUACUGCGAAAGCAUUUGCCAAGGAUGUUUUCAUUAAUCAGUGAACGAAAGUUAGGGGAUCGAAGACGAUCAGAUACCGUCGUAGUCUUAACCAUAAACUAUGCCGACUAGGGAUCGGGCGAUGUUAUUUUUUUGACUCGCUCGGCA